UACGAAGGGGGGCUAGCGUUGCUCGGAAUCACUGGGCGUAAAGGGUGCGUAGGCGGGUCUUUUAAGUCAGGGGUGAAAUCCUGGAGCUCAACUCCAGAACUGCCUUUGAUACUGAAGAUCUUGAGUCCGGGAGAGGUGAGUGGAACUGCGAGUGUAGAGGUGAAAUUCGUAGAUAUUCGCAAGAACACCAGUGGCGAAGGCGGCUCACUGGCCUGGUACUGGACGCUGAGGC
rnacentral:rRNA from 1 species